CUACGGGGGGCAGCAGUCGAGAAUCAUCCACAAUGUACGAAAGUAUGAUGGUGCGACGCCGCGUGUGUGAUGAAGGCCUUAUGGGUUGUAAAGCACUGUCAGGGGGGAAGAAACAGCCUGGGGAUAAUACCCUCGGGCUUUGACGUACCCCCAGAGGAAGCUCCGGCUAACUCCGUGCCAGCAGCCGCGGUAAUACGGAGGGAGCAAGCGUUGUCCGGAAUCAUUGGGCGUAAAGGGCAUGUAGGCGGUUUGGUAAGUCGAAUGUGAAAUCUCACGGCUCAACCGUGAAACUGCGUUCGAAACUGCCGAACUAGAGUACGGGAGAGGUAUGCGGAAUUCCUGGUGUAGCGGUGGAAUGCGUGGAUAUCAGGAAGAACACCAGUGGCGAAGGCGGCAUACUGGCCCAGUACUGACGCUGAGGUGCGAAAGCGUGGGGAGCAAACGGGAUUAGAUACCCGAGUAGUC
rnacentral:rRNA from 1 species